rnacentral:rRNA from 1 species
GACAGAGGUGCCGAGCGUUAGGCGGAAUCACUGGGCUUAAAGCGUGUGUAGGCGGAUCGUUAAGUGCCUUGUGAAAUCCCACGGCUUAACCGUGGAACUGCUUGGCAUACUGGCGGUCUUGAGCAACCUAGGGGCAAGCGGAACAAAUGGUGGAGCGGUGAAAUGCGUAGAUAUCGCUUGGAACGCCGAAGGUGAAAACAGGCUGCUGGGGUUGCGCCGACGCUGAGACACGAAAGCCAGGGGAGCAAACGGG